AGCGAACGCUGGCGGCAGGCUUAACACAUGUAAGUCGAGCGGGCACUUUCGGGUGUCAGCGGCGGACGGGUGAGUAACGCGUGGGAACGUGCCCUCUGGUUCGGAAUAACUCAGGGAAACUUGAGCUAAUACCGGAUACGCCCUUUUGGGGAAAGGCUUGCUGCCGGAGGAUCGGCCCGCGUCUGAUUAGCUAGUUGGUGAGGUAACGGCUCACCAAGGCGACGAUCAGUAGCUGGUCUGAGAGGAUGAUCAGCCACACUGGGACUGAGACACGGCCCAGACUCCUACAGGAGGCAGCAGUGGGGAAUAUUGGACAAUGGGCGCAAGCCUGAUCCAGCCAUGCCGCGUGAGUGAUGAAGGCCUUAGGGUUGUAAAGCUCUUUUAUCCGGGACGAUAAUGACGGUACCGGAGGAAUAAGCCCCGGCUAACUUCGUG
rnacentral:rRNA from 1 species